GAGUAGGGCCGAUGCGUUAAGUACUGGAGGAUGGGAGGUUGCCUCUAGGCGAAGGACAUUUGUCCGCGGUAUCGUCCCGCAGCCGCU
rnacentral:ncRNA from 1 species